rnacentral:rRNA from 1 species
UGGUAGCACUAUUGAAAUGCCUAU